rnacentral:lncRNA from 1 species
CUUCGCAUUUAUUAUCAAAAAACAAAAAAGAAGUAGCAAAUUAAAUUGAUCCCAAGUACAAGUUAUAAAUUAGUAGUACUACUGUUUAUGCUGCUGAUCCCUCUUCUCUCCCCAUUGUUGCACACAAAACCUCAUUUUCUUAGCUGCUACUAAGUACUCCACCGCUUCAAAAUUUCCUUCAACGAUUUCAUCCUCAGUUCAUCAGCUUCUUCAAUUACAUCCGCCAUGAUGUGUUCAUCUAAAGCUCAAAUUCGGUGAGGGCAUAAAUUAGUCGAAUGAAAGAUGGACAUAUAAAUCUGAUCAUGAUAGAAGGACAAACAACAACCGAAUAGCUAGCACCGCCUUCGUUAAUGUGAAAGUUAUAACUU